AUUGAACGCUGGCGGCAUGCUUUACACAUGCAAGUCGAACGGUAACAGGUCUUCGGAUGCUGACGAGUGGCGAACGGGUGAGUAAUACAUCGGAACGUGCCUAGUAGUGGGGGAUAACUACUCGAAAGAGUAGCUAAUACCGCAUGAGAUCUACGGAUGAAAGCAGGGGACCUUCGGGCCUUGUGCUACUAGAGCGGCUGAUGGCAGAUUAGGUAGUUGGUGGGGUAAAGGCUUACCAAGCCUGCGAUCUGUAGCUGGUCUGAGAGGACGACCAGCCACACUGGGACUGGGACACGGCCCAGACUCAUACGGGAGGCAGCAGUGGGGAAUUUUGGACAAUGGGCGAAAGCCUGAUCCAGCAAUGCCGCGUGGAGGAUGAAGGCCCUCGGGUUGUAAACUGCUUUUGUACGGAACGAAAAGCCUGGGGCUAAUAUCCCCGGGUCAUGACGGUACCGUAAGAAUAAGCACCGGCUAACUACGUG
rnacentral:rRNA from 1 species